ensembl:misc_RNA Metazoa_SRP Metazoan signal recognition particle RNA
GCCUUUCGUCCCAGUUACUCUGGAGGCUGAGGCUGGAGGAUCGCUUGAGUCCAGGAGAUCUGGGCUGUGGUGUGCUGUGCCAAUCAGGUGCCCACACGAAGUUCAGCAUCAAUAUGGUGACAUCCCGGGAGCAGGAGACCAGGAGGUUGUCUAAGAAGGGGUGAACCAGCCAAGGCUGGCAAUGGGCCAGGUCAAAACUCCCGUGCUGAUUAGUAGUGGGGCGGUGCUUGUGAAUAGCCACGGUGCUGUAGCCGGGGCAACACAGUGAGACCCCAUCUCCU